rnacentral:ncRNA from 1 species
CUAGGAUAAGUUUGAUUCUUGCUUGCAGUUUUUCUUGUUGCUUGCGUUUGUACAAUACAUGCAAGUUUUUGUUGGAGUGGUGGUAGAGCUUUUUGAUAGGGUUCUAUUUGAUGUGUGAGAGCCUGGCGAUGGUAACUUGGUACGCAGUAUUAAGAAUUUGUUUAUUAAAGUAAUUUAGAAUAAGUAAGACGAUUUAGGUCUGGUUAAAAUUUGUGCCAGCAGCCGCGGUUAUACUUAGGGGUCAAAUAAGAAUAGGUAGGUUUGGGUAGUUAAUUUGUCAGGAUUGUUGUGAAGUUAGUUUAGUUUUGUCAAAGAGUGAAAUCUAGUGGGUAAAACGCUAACUUAAUUUUUCAAUGAUCGAUUGUGAGGCUACAAAAGUUCAGGGAUAAACCAGGAUUAGAUACCCUGUUAUACUGUGACGAAAUUUAACUUAAACCUGAGUAAUAAUAAUUAAUCAUUUUGAAAUUCAAAGAAUUUGGCGGUGUCUUAGUCUAGUUAGAGGAACCUGUUUUAUAAGCGAUAUACCACGUAGGAUCUUCCUUUCUCUUGUGUUAGUUAGUAUACCUUCAUUAUUAGAUAAUUUUAUUGGUAGAAAUUAUUGUAAUAAGCGUUAGCUUAGUAUAUUAGAUCACGGUGCUGCUAAUGAGAAAGUAAAAAUGGGUUACAAUAAAUAUUAAUUUAUAACGAAAUUAAAAAAGAACUUUUUUAACGAAGGAGGAUUUAAUUGUAACUAAAGUUUAAUAAGCUUUAGUGGUAGUAGCUCUAGGAUGUGUACAUAUUGCCCGUCGCUUUCAUCAUAAAGAUGAAAUAAGUCGUAACACAGUAGGCGUACUGGAAAGUGCGCCUAGAAA